rnacentral:rRNA from 1 species
AGAGUUUGAUCCUGGCUCAGCCUGAACGCUGGCGGCGUGGCUAAGACAUGCAAGUCGAACGGUGUAGCAAUACACAGUGGCGGACGGGUGAGUAAAGUAUCGCUAAUGUACCCUUGAGCCAGGGAUAGCUGCCCGAAAGGGCAGGUAAUACCUGAUGAAAUAACUUUGUCGCAUGGCAGAGUUCUCAAAGCAGCAAUGCACUCUUGGAGCAGGCGAUAUCGUAUCAGCUAGUUGGUGAGGUAACGGCUCACCAAGGCGAUGACGCGUAGCUGGUCUGAGAGGACGGCCAGCCACAUCGGGACUGAGACACUGCCCGGACUCCUACGGGGGGCUGCAGUAACGAAUCUUCCGCAAUGCACGAAAGUGUGACGGAGCGACGCCGCGUGCUGGAUGAAGUCCUUCGGGAUGUAAACAGCUGUCAGGGGAAAGAAAGUCUGAUCUACCCCAGAGAAAGAGCCC